rnacentral:rRNA from 1 species
UUAACCCAUGCAUGUUUUUGAAGAUUUAUUAUCUGAAAAAUGGACUGCUCAGUAAUACUCACUUUAUUUUAUGUAUACAGUAGAUAACUACGUUAAAGUGUAGAUAACAUGUAUACAGUAAGAGUGAGACCUAUCAGCUAGUUGUUAAGGUAAUGGCUUAACAAGGCAGUGACGGGUAACGGUAUUACUUUGUAAUAUUCCGGAGAAGGAGCCUGAGAGACGGCUACUAAGUCUAAGGAUUGCAGCAGGGGCGAAACUUGACCUAUGGAUUUUAUCUGAGGCAGUUAUGGGAAGUAAUAUAUUAUUGUUUCAUAUUCUAAAAAUAUAUGAGGUGAUUAAUUGGAGGGCAAAUCAAGUGCCAGCAGCCGCGGUAAUACUUGUUCCAAGAGUGUGUAUGAUGAUUGAUGCAGUUAAAAAGUCCGUAGUUUAUUUUUAAGAAGCAAUAUGAGGUGUACUGUAUAGUUGGGAGAGAGAUGAAAUGUGACGACCCUGACUGGACGAACAGAAGCGAAAGCUGUACACUUGUAUGUAUUUUUUGAACAAGGACGUAAGCUGGAGGAUCGAAGAUGAUUAGAUACCAUUGUAGUUCCAGCAGUAAACUAUGCCGACGAUGUGAUAUGAGUAUUUGUAUUACAUAAUAGAAAUUAGAGUUUUUUGGCUCUGGGGAUAGUAUGAUCGCAAGAUUGAAAAUUAAAGAAAUUGACGGAAGAAUACCACA